AAUAAACUACUGAAAAACUAAUAUAAACACCAUAAACCAGUCUUUCUGACCAACUACAGAAGAAACAAUAGCAGCUGCUGACGCUGUAAAAACUGUGGAGGAUACUUUCAUAUUGAUCCAACUUCCAAUAGCAGAUAAAGGAAAUAUGUUUUGAUGUUUUUCCCAGCAGUGGAUUGAAAUUAGAAGGAGAAAUAAGGAGGACAGAUUCCAUGUCCUGUUGCUUUUAAUAAGAACGGCUUUGGCAGUUACCUCUGAAGGAUGACGCUCUACAAUAAGCUGACCUAAUUUCCAGUUUCGGGAAGCAUAGGAGGAAGAAUCAAGGAUCUAUGGUAAGAAAUUCAAGGAGUAAGAAAAUAUGCCUUGUACUGUGGCAACUGCUGGUAUGUUCAGUUGCUACUUCGAUUCCUGUCAAACUAGUAUUGAACUCUAUUACUACUAGUAGUGAUCUCUGGACACAUCCUUUGCAAAUGAUUUCCCUCCUUUUCCUCCUAUUAAACAUAA